CGCGUAGGCGGUUGUGUAAGUCAGAUGUGAAAUCCUCCGGCUCAACUGGAGAACUGCAUUUGAUACUGCAUGACUCGAGUACAGGAGAGGGAAACGGAAUUCCCGGUGUAGAGGUGAAAUUCGUAGAUAUCGGGAGGAACACCGGUGGCGAAGGCGGUUUCCUGGCCUGAUACUGACGCUGAGGCGCGAAAGCGUGGGUAGCAAACAGGAUUAGAUACCCUGGUAGUCCACGCCGUAAACGGUGAGUGCUGGGUGUGGGAGGUGUAAUGCCUUCUGUGCCGAAGCUAACGCGUUAAGCACUCCGCCUGGGGAGUACGGCCGCAAGGUUGAA
rnacentral:rRNA from 1 species